GGAAGAGUUCUGAAAAGAUCUCUGAGGGCUGGAAGUGCUAAGGACAAUUUCAUAAAGAAGCUACAAUGUAAUGAAGCUAGAAAGGAAUAACAGUGAGAAAUAGAAAAAAAACUACAAACGUGAAAACUAAACAGCACACUCUUCAGCAAUCAUUGAAUCAAAGGGGAAAUCAAAAGGAAAUUUUAAAAAUAUCUCAAGACAAACGAAAAUGCAAGUGCAACACACUUAAGUGUAUGGCAUGCAGCAAAAGAAGGGAGUUCUAAAAGAUGGGGUCUUGCUAUGUUGGCCAAGGUAGUCUUGAAGUCC